rnacentral:rRNA from 1 species
UACGUAGGUGGCAAGCGUUGUCCGGAUUUACUGGGCGUAAAGAGCGUGUAGGCGGUCCGGUAAGUCAGCUGUGAAAGUCAAGGGCUCAACCCUUGAAAGCCGGUUGAUACUGUCGGGCUAGAGUCCGGAAGAGGCGAGUGGAAUUCCCGGUGUAGCGGUGAAAUGCGCAGAUAUCGGGAGGAACACCGGUGGCGAAGGCGGGUCUCUGGGCCGAUACUGACGCUGAGGAGCGAAAGCGUGGGGAGCGAACAGGAUUAGAUACC